rnacentral:rRNA from 1 species
CUCCGCCAGAAAAUUACGAGCGAAAGCCUAAAACUCAAAAGACUUGACGGUGUCCCAACCUUCCUAGAGGAGCCUGUUCCAUAAUCGACAACCCACGAUAUACCUAACCACCCUUAGAUUUUUACUCAGCCUAUAUACCGCCGUCGUACAGCCUACCUUUUAAAAGGACACAAGUAGGCCGAAUAGUAAUAUACUAACAAGUCAGGUCAAGGUGUAGCUUAUACGGUGGAGAAAAUGGGCUACAUUGUUUAUUUUAAACUACACGGACUUUAAACACCCCCUGAAAAAGAAAAUAAAGGCGGAUUUAGCAGUAAUUUAAACAAGAAUAUUUAAAUUAA